AAUAGAUACCCAGGUAGUCCACGCCGUAAACGAUGAGUACUAGCUGUCGGAGGUUACCCCCUUCGGUGGCGCAGCUAACGCAUUAAGUACUCCGCCUGGGAAGUACGCUCGCAAGAGUGAAACUCAAAGGGAUUGACGGGGACCCGCACAAGUAGCGGAGCAUGUGGUUUAAUUCGAAGCAACGCGAAGAACCUUACCUAAGCUUGACAUCCUUUUGACCGAUGCCUAAUCGCAUUUUUCCCUUCGGGGACAGAAGUGACAGGUGGUGCAUGGUUGUCGUCAGCUCGUGUCGUGAGAUGUUGGGUUAAGUCCCGCAACGAGCGCAACCCUUGCCUUUAGUUGCCAGCAUUAAGUUGGGCACUCUAGAGGGACUGCCAGGGAUAACCUGGAGGAAGGUGGGGAUGACGUCAAAUCAUCAUGCCCCUUAUGCUUAGGGCUACACACGUGCUACAAUGGGUGGUACAGAGGGCAGCCAAGUCGUGAGGCGGAGCUAAUCCCUUAAAGCCAUUCUCAGUUCGGAUUGUAGGCUGAAACUCG
rnacentral:rRNA from 1 species